rnacentral:lncRNA from 1 species
AAUCUUUAUUUCAAAGUUACCUAGGUUCACUCAAAAGACAGGCUGGGGAGACACGUGGACUCAGAAGAUAUCAAGUUCCCUUUAUUACAGUAUUCUUAUAAAGGAAAUAAACUUUAACAGGGCAUUUGACAUCCUAAUUUAUCCACCUUCUGAAAUAUGAAGAACUAAAACCUGCCCUUCCUGGAUUUUUCUUAGAACACGUGAAGGUACAAAUGUAAGGAAGGUAUUCUAAGGGAGUAGAAAUGAACGAAUAUUCUCCAUUCUAAAAAUAUUCCAGACUUUGUAAUUUUCCUGCAGAACUUAAGAUUUCAGGCUUUCUGAGGAAAGAAUGGGCAUGAUUUGGGGCAGAAAUAGAUAAGUAAAGAGGCCUGGACAGGAUUCACUUCACGUUCUUAACAGGAAAGUAGACGAACUUAUAAAAACCUUUUAAUUUGCAAAGACGUGGAGAUAACCAGCAAACAAGAUUUUUUUAAAAAUGAAAUUUAGUCUGGGCGUGGUGGCCCACUCCUGUAAUCCCAGCACUUUGGGAGGCCGAGGCAGGCGGAUCACUUGAGGUCAGGAGUUCGAGACCAGCCUGGCCAACAUGAAGAAACCUCAUCUCUACUAAAAUAUAAAAAUUAGUCAGGUGUGGUGGCAGGCACCUGUAAUCCCAGAUAGUCGGGAGGCUGAGGCAGGAGAAUAGCUUGAACCCGGGAGGCAGAGGUUGCAGUGAGCCAAGAUUGUGCUACUGCACUCCAGCCUGGGCUACAAGAGCGAAACUCUGUCUCAAAAAAAAAAAAAAAAAAAAAAAAAAAAAAGAAAGAAAUGCAAACGAUUUGUGAGUUGGUCAUGCAUAGUUACAUAUUUAGUGAAAGUACAAUUGAAAAUAGAAUAAUCUCAGAUGCAUAAGAUUCUUAUUAAAAUCUUAAUCAAAAUCCAGAGAUUUUGGAUCUACUUCCAGGAGAUCAUGGCUGAGGCUAACACAUAUACAUAGAUACGAAUUUUUAUUUUAUAAUUGACUAUUUCUCUCUCUCUCUUUUAUGAGAUAGGGUCUUGCUCUGUUGUUAGGCUGGAGAGCAGUGGCGAGAUCAUAGCUCAUUGCAGCCUUGAGCUCCUGGGCUCGCAUGAUCCUACUGGUUUCAGCCUUCUCAAGUAUUUGGAUUACAGGUGUGAGCCACCGCACCUGGCCUUGUUCUCUUUUUUAAGUUUUUAAUUUUCCAUUACUAGCUACCAAUAUAAUCCUAAAGGGUAGAAUUGGACAGAUAUCGGCUCAGAUCUUCUUCGUUUUUCAGUUUCUUCUUUUGUAAAAUGAGGAUAAUCAGACCAAAUCUGUAAGGUUUUUAUGAGUAUGAAAUAAUUUAUGCAAAAAAAUUAGCAUAGUGUCUGGCAUAUUAAUUUGUUCCAUUGCUCCAUUGUUCAAUUGAUCCACUGGCAUAUUAGUUUGUUCCAGAGAUCAGUGGAUCAAUGGAACAGACUACCAGUGGAUCAAUCAAUUGAUUGAUCAAUUGAUUUAUCCACACAUCUCUAAUAGCACUUGGCCUCCCAGAAUUGUCCAGAAUGUGGAAAUUUUUUGUUUCCAACUCAAGUCACGUCCCAGAAGCUUUUUCUGAUUAUCUGAUUUUGUUCAGUUUAGGAGCUCAUCUCCCUGGAAAACUUUGAAGUUUUGUUUGCUCUGUUGAUACAACUUGGGUAAAACUGUUGAUAUUAAUGAUGUCCUAACUUCUGUAUUUCAUUGAGUCAGCCAGACUAAAAUUGUACACACACACACACACACACACACACACACACACACACAUAUACACACAUUAUUACAGGCACGUAUUCAAAAAAUUAAUUUUUCCUUUGCUGUGAGAAACACCAGAUGUGACACACAUUAUUACUUAUCUCUGUACAGGAUAGUUGAAGAUAUUUGAGGACUUAUGGCUUACUGUAGAAUUUAAAGGAAAUGAUUGAGUUAAAUGAAAAUAGCUAAGUACAAUAGCUCCAUCAUUACAUUAAAGGUAUAUUGCUCAACUAUGUUUCUGCUUAAUUUUUGUCCAGUUGUAGAGGUGGGAUAUUGUUGCUGGUCAUUCAGACUGAUGUUCAGCUCCUACUUUCAAGUGAUUACACAGUUGUUUCUAGCCUUUGUGUGUACUGAUAGCUGGAUCCUCCUUCACUUCUUGAGUUGCUAAAUAGUUUUCAUUUUACUCCAGCUUAUAAUUGUACAUAAAAAAUUUCUACAUAUAGUUUGAAAGACAUAAAAGACUAUAGGAACAAUAAGACUUUUGCUAAACAGGGUCAACAUUUAGAAAAUGUUCUUAAAGUUACCCAGCUUUUUUUUAAGGGAAGCAAAGAAUGUUUCUAUAAUUUCCAAACCAAUCCUCUAUAGACAUAAAAUACCCUUGGAAGGUGUUCAUCAGAAAAGUAAGAGCUAUAAGCUUUUAACUCUUACCAGCCAAUGAUAUCAUCCCUGUUAAUUCUUAUUUUUUAAUCAAAAAAAGAUUGUAAGAAAUAUAGACAAAGUUCUUUUUACUUAGUGCAUACCACUGUGAAAUUUAAAAAAAUCAUAAAAUACAAAAAUGUUGUGGGUAAUUGAGGAUCUAAUAUACUGACAAAGACUAAGGGAUUGCCUAGUGUUUUAUUUUUAUUCCUUCAUAUCUUGAGAGAUAAUAUUGUUUGUAAAUAGCAAACCUAAGAAUAGUUACUUGGUUCUUGAAAAUUCAUAUUUAUGGAAAUAAAAUGCUUAUCAGGAGGCAUCAUUUUGUGGAUGAAAAAAUUAGCUGAUUAUUCAGUCCUGGCUAAUGUGAUGACUUCAUUUUUUGUUUUUUAUUUUUUUGAGACACAGUAUGGUGCAAUUUCUGCUCACUGCAACUUCCAUCUCUUGGCUUCAAGCAAUUCUGCCUCAGCCUCCUGAGUAGUCAGGAUUACAGGCACCCACCAACACACCUGACUAAUUUUUGUAUUUUCAGUAGAGACGGAGUUUCACCAUGUU